rnacentral:lncRNA from 10 species
CCCGGUUUCUGUUUUUCUCCCGGUGCAGGAAAACAUGAAGAACGGGGAAAGUAGCUGCCGCAUGCCAAUGUGAAACUCCGAGGAGUCUAGCCAUUCUGAUCUGGCCUUCCAGGUCAUUAGGAGGCUCUGCCAUCGUGUGAGGAGGGAAAGCCUGCUGUCUGGAGAGCACACUGGUCUCCAGCGUGGGGAGAGAGAGCACUUUCGGGCUUUGCUGAGGAGGGUCUUCAGAAAAAAGAUGUGCAGCUCGGACAUGGAGGGCAGAAGGUGCUCAGGAAGGAUCUUCUGCAUGCAGGAGCCUCCUCUCUCGAAGGGUGUUCUCCAAUCAUGAGCUUAUUUGCUGUUUACAUGCCCGAGGAGGACUGACCUUAGCAGCUAUGAUGACCUCAUUUAUCACUGUGGAUAAGCACUUGGCCAGGGUCUCAGCCAGCACCCCAGGCCCAGCCUCCUGGUUUACUCAUUUCUGGGGGUGGUGGCAUCUGCCCACUGUCCUGAACUUUCCUCUGCUUGGGUAGGGACAGGGAGCCCCAGCAGCACUUGUUCCAGGAUGACCCAGCAAAUUGCAAGGUGGCAUUUGGCCUUUUCCUCAGCAAUUGCCAGACUUUGUCCCAGGGUGAGGAGGAAGCCAAUGGAAG